rnacentral:rRNA from 1 species
AUGGAUUGGAGAACAUCUCGCGAGACGAGGGCGUCACAAUCGGAGCCAAAGACCAUCCAACGGUGGGAACCCCCCGAAGAUGGAUGGGUAAAGAUCAACUCCGACGGCGCGGUCUCGAGGCAUGGUGACAAAGGUGGAGGGGGUGCAGUCCUUCGUGACCACAACGCGGCGUUCAUAGCCGGGUCAUGUCACUUUUUCCCUAAUGUCACCGAUCCGGAGAUGGCAGAAGUUCUGGCUUGCAAAACUGCUGUUCGCUUAGCUAUGGAUCACAACAUCCGGAGAGCUCAUGUGGAGGUAGAUUGCCUGGCGCUAGUGCAAAAGCUAAACAACCAGGAGAGGGACCUUUCUGCGGUCGGCCCUUGGGUGCAAGAGAUCAAGACGUUGCUAAGGUCCAUGGAGGAGGCCAAGGACACGUGGAUUAGACGUUCGGGAAAUGUUGCCGCUCACAAUCUUGCUCGAGUAGGUGUAGGUGAGAACCGUUCGGAAGUGUGGGUGGGUUCGCCACCAGACUUUAUUUUGCAUGUAAUUUCAGAUGACAUUCCUAGUUUUGGUUAA